rnacentral:lncRNA from 1 species
AUUGUGUAUUCGUGCAGCAGAAACACACCAGAUAGAAAAAGCUGGGAGCAAAACGACCUAACAAGGGGCAGAAACAUCAAGGGGCAUGACAAUGCCACAAGACCUGAGACAGAAUUUCCAGAGUGACUUUACAUUCUGAAGAUCCACCCAGGCUCAGGGGACUCCUCAGCUCUACUUAUGGAAGUGAAAACUCACCCUUGGAGCUGCCCAGGAAGCAAAUGCAGUGGCUUUUUCCCCCUGGAAAAUCGACCCAUGUUGAAGUUUGCCAUACAAUGAGUAUAGCAGCAUGCUGCCAUUCAUUUAAUUAAAAAUAGCAAAAAUGCACCGGGCUCUCAAUCAUCUAUGUUCCCAACAAGAAACUGCGCUGAGACAAUCUUCAAAAUGGCACAUCCCUCACCGCCGAGAUUAUCUCUAUUCCUGAACAUGAAUGGCAAAGAAAAGAAGCCAAGGCCAGAAGGAAAAGGGAAACCCUUCAGACCACACAGGUGUUUUUUCAUGGAUUAAUUUACAUCAGGAGACUUUCAGCAAAGCAGAGUAUCCUCCAUGAUCAAUGCUGGAAGCCAGGGGCUCCAGACGGCCCAGCUACAAGAUGGAAGUGGCAAGGAUCCCGCUCACCCGAGGAGAGUUGGCCUGGAGAGCUGCCUGACCCAGCCUUUAAUGAGCAAGAGAGGCCAUCCUGAUGAGUACGAGGUGGUAGAGCUGCCUGCUUUUUGAUUAAUGUGACGAUCACACCCUCUGCCUGGGAGUUUUACAGACUGGUGAUGACUUUUUGUGGCAUCUCAGGAAAGAACAUAACUUCGUGGACGUCCUUAGUCAGAAUCUACUCAGUGUAUCUACUCAGUAUAGGCUCACAUGAGCCCUCACCUUCCCAGGGAGUCACAACCUCUACUAUACUUCUUCUUUCUGCUCUGCCCCCCACAAACGGCCCUGCCAGCCCUCACCACCUAGAGGGAGAUUGGGAGCCGGUAGAGGAAAGACACCCUGAAUCCCCGAGGUCAAGCAAAGCCCUGGGGAGGCGCCGUGGGAUCCCUGCCUCGGGCCUGCCUAGACAGUAUGUGAAUGAGUAUCCCAGAGAUUCUCCCCGCUGUGACCUCGAGGGCCAGCCUGCCUGUGUGGCCGUGAGCUGCUUUCUUCCCAGAGGAACUUGCUUGCGGCAGCAGGACUCCACAGCCUCAGGGGCAGCUUGG